rnacentral:rRNA from 1 species
UUUUUUGAACGCGAAGAACCUUACCAAAUCUUGACAUCCUCUGACCCCUCUAGAGAUAGAGUUCUCCCCUUCGGGGGACAGAGUGACAGUGUUGGUGCAUGGUUGUCGUCAGCUCGUGUCGUGAGAUGUUGGGUUAAGUCCCGCAACGAGCGCAACCCUUAAGCUUAGUUGCCAUCAUUAAGUUGGGCACUCUAAGUUGACUGCCGGUGACAAACCGGAGGAAGGUGGGGAUGACGUCAAAUCAUCAUGCCCCUUAUGAUUUGGGCUACACACGUGCUACAAUGGACAAUACAAAGGGUAGCGAAACCGCGAGGUCAAGCAAAUCCCAUAAAGUUGUUCUCAGUUCGGAUUGUAGUCUGCAACUCGACUAUAUGAAGCUGGAAUCGCUAGUAAUCGUAGAUCCCAUGCUACCGGGGAAUACGUUCCCCGGGGCUUGUCACACGCAAAAAAA